rnacentral:rRNA from 1 species
AAUCAUGGCUCAGGAUGAACGCUAGCUACAGGCUUAACACAUGCAAGUCGAGGGGCAGCAUUCCAGUUUGCUUGCAAACUGGAGAUGGCGACCGGCGCACGGGUGAGUAACACGUAUCCAACCUGCCGAUAACUCGGGGAUAGCCUUUCGAAAGAAAGAUUAAUACCCGAUGGCAUAAUAGAACCGCAUGGUUUGAUUAUUAAAGAAUUUCGGUUAUCGAUGGGGAUGCGUUCCAUUAGGCAG